rnacentral:rRNA from 1 species
AGCUCCAAUAGCGUAUAUUAAAGUUGUUGCAGUUAGAACGCUCGUAGUCGGAUUUCGGGGCGGUCCGACCGGUCUGCCGAUGGGUACGCACUGGUCGGAGCGUCCUUUUUGCCGGAGACCGUGCCUACUCUUAACUGAGCGGGGGCGGGAGACGGCACUUUUACUUUGAAAAAAUCAGAGUGUUUCAAGCAGGCAGCUCGCUCUUGCAUGGAUUAGCAUGGGAUAAUGAAAUAGGACUUUGGUGCUAUUUUGUUGGUUUCGAACACCGAAGUAAUGAUGAGAAGGGACAGUCAGGGGCACUCGUAUUCCGCAGAGAGAGGUGAAAUUCUCAGACCCGCGGAAGACGAACCACUGCGAAAGCAUUUGCCAGGGAUGUUUUCACUG